UACCGGGUAUACCAGGAAUCGAUCAGAACCUACCCGGUAGGGUAGGGUCCGGGUAGCUCGUAUUGAAAAUAGGGUAGGGUCCGGGUAUAAAAAUAAGGAACCGGUGAAAUCCGGUUCCGGUUCCGGUUCCAGCCUACGGGGUAUCCAAAACCGGAACCGGAACCGAAAUCCGGAACCGGAUGGUAAUUACAAAAAACAAAAAAGAAAAAAAAGAAGGUAAAGUUAUCCUCAUUCGCAGUCGGGUCUUUUCUCUCUCUCUCUCUCUGCUUGUCUCUUUCUCUGCGAUCGAGCUAGGGCUGCGUUGCCGGGCUUCUCUUCUCUUCCUCCGAUGGAAGGUCUCCUCCGCUUCAGCGGCUUUCUUGACGCCUCUCUGGUCCGAUACCUAAUGGACCCGCAGGAGAAUGAGGCGGCGUUCGACGGGGAAGCUCACGAAGUUGAGCCCUCAGACCACUCCCUCCACCAUUCCGCUGAAGACGACAGAUCUCACCUUCAGUCCGGCGACGGAGCUAGUCCCGAAAAGAUUUUUUUUUCCCCGUUGAGUUUAGCUAGAAUGAAGGAUUCGAAAGGCGAGGGAGGAGCGGGGGAGAUUUGACGGGAACCGUGGAUUUGACCGGUGGGGAGAGUGAGGGGCUGAAUCCCUGCCGUAGGAUUGAGAUGGGAUGGAAUGAGAUGGGGGGGAAGUCUUCGUGUUUACUGUGAGUUUGUCCGUAUUUGGAGAUGUGGGGCUGAAUCUCUCUUGGUUUGAUUGAAAGAGUUUGCACUGUAAUUGCUAAUUAAGAUUAUUGAUAUGAUUAAUCUAAAUUUAUGUCGAUAUUAUAUUUGCCGUGAUUA